UACGUAGGGUGCAAGCGUUGUCCGGAAUUAUUGGGCGUAAAGGGCUCGUAGGCGGUCUGUCACGUCGGGAGUGAAAACUCAGGGCUUAACCCUGAGCCUGCUUCCGAUACGGGCUGACUAGAGGUAUGCAGGGGAGAACGGAAUUCCUGGUGUAGCGGUGAAAUGCGCAGAUAUCAGGAGGAACACCGGUGGCGAAGGCGGUUCUCUGGGCAUUACCUGACGCUGAGGAGCGAAAGUGUGGGGAGCGAACAGG
rnacentral:rRNA from 1 species